GUUUUAGUUUACAUGAGUGGUGGCUUAUCGGGUGUGAUAUUUACUGGAUUAUAUAUUGACCAAGGACAAAUGGUGACUCUUGAAUAUAAUUGUCUUGCACUCUCUGCUGUGAUGAUAUGGACUACUUUUACUAUGGGCUUUAUAUACCUUUUUCUGAAACUUGUGGGCGUUUUAAAGCCAAAAAUGACAAGGGUUUGACAAAUACAAGCAUGAAACUUCUUCCUCUGGAAAUGUCUGAAGCAUCAACAAACAAGAUGAAAAAGAAAUAACUUUGAUGAAAGAGAAUAUUUAGUCCAUGACUUUUUAUACUUGUAAAUCUGCAAUUUUAUGCUCUGAUUUCUAACUAGUCGCAGCGCCCUUUAAGUGGGUGAAUUUUCAUGAUAUUGCAGUAAGAGGGCUGAUUUUCUCUAAAUUUUUGUUGUUUUUCAAUAUAAUGACCAAAAAAACAUUUGAAUUGCCACAUUUCUUAUCAUUAAAAAGGCAUG